rnacentral:rRNA from 1 species
AUGCUCCCGGUUAGUAUUGAUAGGACGUACCGGUGGGCUAAGUAGUGGGGUUGGGCCUGCUUCUUGGUCGUCCCCCUCUUCAUUUCCGGAUACUUUGAGUUUUGAUCAUGGCUCAGAUUGAACGCUGGCGGCAGGCCUAACACAUGCAAGUCGAGCGGAAACGACUUAUCUGAACCUUCGGGGAACGUUAAGGGCGUCGAGCGGCGGACGGGUGAGUAAUGCCUAGGAAAUUGCCUUGAUGUGGGGGAUAACCAUUGGAAACGAUGGCUAAUACCGCAUAAUGCCUACGGGCCAAAGAGGGGGACCUUCGGGCCUCUCGCGUCAAGAUAUGCCUAGGUGGGAUUAGCUAGUUGGUGAGGUAAUGGCUCACCAAGGCGACGAUCCCUAGCUGGUCUGAGAGGAUGAUCAGCCACACUGGAACUGAGACACGGUCCAGACUCCUACGGGAGGCAGCAGUGGGGAAUAUUGCACAAUGGGCGAAAGCCUGAUGCAGCCAUGCCGCGUGUAUGAAGAAGGCCUUCGGGUUGUAAAGUACUUUCAGUUGUGAGGAAGGGGGUGUCGUUAAUAGCGGCAUCUCUUGACGUUAGCAACAGAAGAAGCACCGGCUAACUCCGUGCCAGCAGCCGCGGUAAUACGGAGGGUGCGAGCGUUAAUCGGAAUUACUGGGCGUAAAGCGCAUGCAGGUGGUUCAUUAAGUCAGAUGUGAAAGCCCGGGGCUCAACCUCGGAACUGCAUUUGAAACUGGUGAACUAGAGUACUGUAGAGGGGGGUAGAAUUUCAGGUGUAGCGGUGAAAUGCGUAGAGAUCUGAAGGAAUACCAGUGGCGAAGGCGGCCCCCUGGACAGAUACUGACACUCAGAUGCGAAAGCGUGGGGAGCAAACAGGAUUAGAUACCCUGGUAGUCCACGCCGUAAACGAUGUCUACUUGGAGGUUGUGGCCUUGAGCCGUGGCUUUCGGAGCUAACGCGUUAAGUAGACCGCUGGGAGAAGGGAAAAG